GACGAACGCUGGCGGCGUGCUUAACACAUGCAAGUCGAGCGGUAAGGCCCUUUCGGGGGUACACGAGCGGCGAACGGGUGAGUAACACGUGGGUGACCUGCCCUCAGCUCUGGGAUAAGCCUGGGAAACUGGGUCUAAUACUGGAUAUGACUCCACGGUGCAUGUCGUGGGGUGGAAAGCCUUGUGCGGCUGAGGAUGGGCCCGCGGCCUAUCAGCUUGUUGGUGGGGUGAUGGCCUACCAAGGCGACGACGGGUAGCCGGCCUGAGAGGGCGACCGGCCACACUGGGACUGAGACACGGCCCAGACUCCUACGGGAGGCAGCAGUGGGGAAUCUUGCGCAAUGGGCGAAAGCCUGACGCAGCGACGCCGCGUGAGGGAUGACGGCCUCGG
rnacentral:rRNA from 1 species